rnacentral:rRNA from 1 species
GACGAACGCUGGCGGCGUGCUUAACACAUGCAAGUCGAACGGAAAGGCCCUGCUUUUGUGGGGUGCUCGAGUGGCAAACGGGUGUGUAACACGUGAGUCACCUGCCCUUGACUUUGGGAUAACUUCAGGAAACUGGGGCUAAUACCGGAUAGGAGCUCCUGCUGCAUGGUGGGGGUUGGAAAGUUUCGGCGGUUGGGGAUGGACUCGCGGCUUAUCAGCUUGUUGGUGGGGUAGUGGCUUACCAAGGCUUGGACGGGUAGCCGGCCUGAGAGGGUGACCGGCCACAUUGGGACUGAGAUACGGCCCAGACUCCUACGGGAGGCAGCAGUGGGGAAUAUUGCACAAUGGGCGGAAGCCUGAUGCAGCAACGCCGCGUGCGGGAUGACGGCCUUCGGGUUGUAAACCGCUUUCGCCUGUGACGAAGCGUGAGUGACGGUAAUGGGUAAAGAAGCACCGGCUAACUACGUG